rnacentral:tRNA from 1 species
AAGGGAGACCUAAUUCCGGUAGGAGACGAAAAAAAAGUAGUCCCUACCAAGAAUCAAUCCCAAAAGGUCGGAACGAGGUAUGAGGCUUUCAAACUAGGUUCUGGGUUUAUAAAAGACCUGAAUCAGGAACAAGGGCUAUUAGCUCAGGUGGUUAGAGCGCACCCCUGAUAAGGGUGAGGUCCCUGGUUCGAGUCCAGGAUGGCCCACCUGCACAGGUGGCAAAAACAAGAGAAGCGAGGAAUCAGCACCUUAUCUUAUAUACAUAUAUAAGAGAGAAUGCUGGCUCUGAGUACAGAGUCCAGAGGAACCUUGAAAACUGCAUAGAGCUAGGUGAAAAAGCCAAAAAAGAAGACCGCAAGGUCAAGCUAAUAAGGGCUAACGGUGGAUACCUAGGCAC